AACAAACCAGUAAAGGUGUGACACUGCCUCCUAAAGAUCAUUAUGUCUCCGAAAAAGGUGUUGAAGAGGCACAUAAUGUUGGGCUUCAUGAAUCCAAGAGGGAAAGGAAUGUAACUUCACAUAAAGAGCGCCCACACUCCCCAAACCAAGGUCCUGGUCUUCCAGUCGAGGCGCCUCCAUCGAAUAUGGAUAAUAGAAAUGAGCAGCGUUCAGUCUCAGGGUUCCGCAAAAAUGGAAACCAAACUAACCGAUAUGGCAG
rnacentral:lncRNA from 1 species